GUUUUUUGGAAUGAACGUUGUGAAAUCCCUCCUUUAUAAUGGCAGGUUUUCAGUUGGUGGUUUUAUCAGAAUUUCUCAAGAUCAAAACGAAACCUUCUCUUUAAAAAGGAAAGAAAGUACUAUCGAUACAGAAAGCAAAAGUAUUUCCAGUCUCCUACUGAACUGUCACGGCAGACCUCUCUGUAUCUAUAUUUAGAGCUGUAUGUCCAUAUAUUUGCCUGAAUGUGUGAGUUCUUGGAAGUAUGGAUUCAUUGCCAGGAGCUGGUGAUUUCCUAAGCAGAGGUCGCUAACUACAAGAAAUGUUACACUCGGACAAGUCCUGCGCUUGGGGAUCCUCUGUACGCCCGUUCACUGGUGCAGGUCUUCUGAACAAAUGCCUCCUGAGGAUUUCUGUGCCUGGAAAAUAUCUGUUAACAGACUGCUUUUACACCUACGCUUGCACCCUCACGACAUGCUCUCUCUCUCUCCCUCUCCUCUUUUCUCUCUUCUCUCCCUUCUCUCCUCUCUCUUAUCUCUCUCUUCUCUCUCUCGUACACAUACUCUGGAAAGCCAGCUACCAUACUGGGAACUGCCCAAUGGAGAGGCCCACAUUCCACAAGGAACUGAUGUCUUCAGCCAAUACCUCGCCAGGACCUGAGGCCUGCUGAGAGUCACGAGUGGCCUUCGUGGGUCCUCUCUCAACGAGCUUGCAGGUGACCACUGCGCCAGCCAAAACCUUGAUGGCAGCCUAUGAGUGAGUGACCCUGAGCCAGAAGACCCAGUUAAGCCAUGCCCAGGAUCCUGACCUGCAGAAACUAUGACAUAAUAAAUUUAUUGUUUUAUGCCACUAACUUUUGGGGUUACUUAUGCAGCAAUAGAUAGCUAAUACAGCUCAUAGUAUCCUUAUCUAGCCUCAAACAUUCUGCCUUUAGUAUCUAACUUUCCUAACUUUUUAGAUAAACUUUUUUGGGGGGGAUAAUUUUAGAUUUACAGAAAAAAGGCAAAGAUAGUAUAGAGAGUUCCUUUAUAUUUCUCUCCUAGUUUCCUCUAUUGUUCAUAUCUCAUAAAACGAUGGUUUUGGGUUUUUUGAGACGGCGUCUCACUCUGUCACCCAGGCUAGAGUGCAGUGGUGAUCAUAGCUCACUGCAGCCUUGAACUCCUGGCUCAAGGGAUCUUACUACCUCAGCUUCCCAAGUAGCUGGGUUCACAGCAUGUACCACCACACAUGGCUAAUUAAAACAUAUAUAUAUUAUAUAAUAUAUAUAUUUUAAGUUAUUAGUAAGUAUAUCAAAUACUGCUCCAGAUUUACAAAUGGUUAUUUUCCACUAUGAUGUCAAUACACAUUAAUUUG
rnacentral:lncRNA from 1 species